UUGUGCUACUGCACUCCAGCCUGGACAACAGACGGGGACUCCGUCUCAAAAAACAAUAACAAAAAAAAAUUAAAAAAAAAAAAAUCUCAGAAAUAGGGGAAACAGGAGAUCAUGAUCCUAAGAGAUUGAUAGCCUGGGGUGCACGCCGAGUCUUCAGAGCUAGCCGUCUGUGUCUUCCCAUUUCCUUCACUUGUUAAUAAGCUUUUGUUUGAACCAACAUUGGUUUUUCUCUCCGUGUUCCACCGUAGCUCCCCAAGGACACUGCUAGGUGGAAUCUCUGAGAAAACAGGCACUUCGCAGUCGGCCCACCUUUCUCUGCUGGCUUUGGGGUUGUCGUCAAGGUGGAGGAAGGGUAUUUUGGCCAUGAUUUGGAGUCGUUUUUACUCACUCUUCUUAGGAUAGCUUUCCCGCCCUAUCCUCUGCUCUUCUUUCCCACCCCUCUUCCAGCCCGGUUUUUUAACUACUUGAAUUAUGUAUCCAAAAUAAAAAAUGAAAAGAGUUGGAGUGAGUUGGGGAGGGCAGAAAGAGUAGCUCUUCUGGUUCCUCAGACCACGUGAUGCCCAGGGCGUGAGCCUCGGGGAUCGCUGAGCAGACCUUCCUACUGGCACUUUCCACAGCCAGCUGGGCCUGCCUGUGAGUCAGAUCUGUACCCAGGUUCCAGGUCAGAAUGGCCCCUUGCCUGCUGAGGCACCCCCAAGGACACAUCCCAGCCCUUUAGGCACCUGUAGGCUAGAAUGACACCUUCCAGGCCAACCCCAGAGGCCCUCAGUGUUCUCCUCCAAGCCAGGAGAGGAGGCCGGCACAGGCCACGUGCACUACCUCAGCACCCAGCGCAGCCCGCGCUCCCCGACGUGCUCAGCCUCUUGUGACAGGUGCUCUGCCGUGUCUGUCCAUCAUCCGCAGAGCUGGAUGGGGAGUCUCUGUGUGGGUUCUACUCUGUCCCCUUCCAGCUUGAAUUCUCCAGAGCAGAGCGCAGCCCUUGUCUCCUCUUCAGCUCUGACUUAAAAACACACUGUGUUCCAAAUCAUGGACGGGAUCGGAAAUCAGAAGUGCUUGUUAACGAGACAGACCACCUUUUCAUGUGUUUUUCCAAAAGGAAUUUGUGCUUCAAAAGAAACUUCAGUAAAUUUAUUAUUAAAUUAGCAUAUGCUCAUUAAAGUUGAGUUAUGUUUUAUAAAAAAAAUAUAUAUAGGAUCUGGUACAUGGGGCGGGCAAAAGGAUACCAUCAGCUUAAGAAAUAAAGAAAAGUAAGUCUUCCAUUUGUGUGGGUGAUAACAUCUUUUUCCUAGAUCGUACCUCAAAAUUCAAGCUCUCCGUGAAAACAAAGAUAAUCUGAAUAAAAAUUUUAUGUUGGAAAAUGUAUCAAGUGGCCUUUAGUUGAGAAAAGCACAGGCUAUUUGUUAGCAAAACUUGCUUAGUUACAUAAUUUGUGGCUUUCUCUGCCAUUGGGGUUCUUUGCAUUUUGAAUUCACUUGGAGCUCAGCUUUUGUUUGGCUCCUGGGUCUUGCACCCCUUCAGUUCACCGGUGACAUAAUAGUGAUACCCCUUUUGUUUUUGUACCAUUUUUGUGAAUUGUGACAACCAUCAGGUAAUCACCUUGGCUUCAGCAGAAGUUUUAAACAACCUUUGCAGCCAGUGUCGGGGUGUGCACCAGCAGCCUGGAAGUGAUCGGCAUUGCUGAUUAAAGCACCCCCUGCUCUGCCCACUUCCACACAUUCCCAUCCUCAUCAGAAACCGUAUUGCAGAUGCUCCUCGGGUAGGUGCGGGCAGACUUCAUUGUGUGUCACUAGUAAGAGUGAUGUCUCUGUGAGUGCGGCCCAUUCAUGACACGCUAGAAAUGUGUACAUUCUUUUGUUUUCCAUCAUGGGUGUAGGUCUUCUGCCAUGAAAGAGAACUGCCAAGGAAAUUCCUGAAAACAAGAUUGUAAAUUCGAUUUGACCUUCCCAGAUUCAGGGCUGCUGUUGGCAGUGGGCCCUGGCCCAGCAAGUGGCCGGCAUGGCUCCUGUUGGCUCAUGCCAGUGUUGUGUGGGACCCUUGAAUAUGUGACUGUCACUCUUGUCCAAGACCGACUUUUAGCAGUCUUGAUUUGUCAUUUUGAUACUUUUAAUAUAUAAGAAAAAUGCCAUGAAUACCAUAUAAAUACCGCACCAAAAAUCCUGCCACUUUAUUACUUAGUAGAAUUCCAAGUAGAGAGGUCUGCUUAGACACAUAUUUAGUUAAGGUUGUAUUGUGUGUGAUAUUAUCCUAUCGUCAAUAAAGUCCUACUGCUGAAAAACAGGGAUUUGCAAUGAAAAUACGUAAGCUAAACGAAAGGCAUUGUUUAGAAAGUUCCAACUAUUGAAAGGGCUAGAAGGCUGCAACUUGUAAAAUUGUACUCCCCAAGUUCAGUAGGAUAGUAGAGAAAUUGUGCUAAGUUGAUUUCAUUGAAACGUCACGUCUCGUAUCCUGUGGUCCAAAGGUACAGUUUGUUUUGUGGAAUAAUUUUCUAUUCACUUGUUGGUAAGAAAUUUAGCAGUCAGAAGUACUUUUAAAUUAAUAACCUUUCUUUUAAAAAGUUGCUUUAUGGUUUACAAGUAAUACUGUUGCAAAAAGGAUUUGUUAACCUUCUGAAGUUAAGUAGCACGCGCUUUGUUUACAUGCUUCAGUAUAUUGUGGGGUCGGUCCCUUCUCACGAACCCAGGACCUGUGCUUGGGGAACAUUCUGCCAUCAUGCUGUUCUCUUGUAUCAAGGAUCAGUGAAAGCGUUUUAUCUUUUUUAUGUAGUUUGUAUUGACUGGAUUUUAUAACUGUAAGAAAACAGAAACAGAGUGUAGUAUUUUGAUCUGAAAUUUGUGUAUGCUAAAGUAAUUUUAUUUCAUGUAUUGGAAGUUCAUUUAAAAACUUGAAAUAUUUUCUAGAAGGGUACCACAUGAAAUGAAUUAUCUUUAAGCUGUUUAAUUAGCCUAAUAAAAUAAUUUGAUGGGGAAGUCAUUCUAAUUGUUUCUGAUUUUUAGAGUGGUUCCUGCUAACUCAGCAUUAUCAAUACAGCUUGAUUUGUGAAUGGAA